rnacentral:rRNA from 1 species
GAUGAACGCUGGCGGCGUGCCUAAUACAUGCAAGUCGAGCGAACAGAGGAAGAUGUUUCCCCUCUUACAGUGGCGGCCGAACGGGUGGGAACCCCUGGAAAACCUUCCUAUAAGGCUGGGGUUAACACGUGAAACCGGAGGUUAUUCCCGAUUAUAUCUUAAUCCCCCUUGAUCAAUAGUUAAAGACGGCUUUGCCGUCACUUAUAGAUGGAUCCGCGCUGCAUUAGCUAGUUGGUAAGGUAAAGGCUUACCAAGACAACGAUGCAUAGCCGACUUGAGAGACUGAUCGGCCACACUGGAACUGAGACACGGCCCAGACUCCUACGGGAGGCAGCAGUAGGGAAUCUUCCGCAAUGGGCGAAAGCCUGAUGGAGCAACGCCGCGUGAGUGAUGAAGGCUUUCGGAUCGUAAAGCACUGUUAUAAGGGAAGAACAGCUGUGAAAGUAAAUGAGCACAGCUUGACGGUACCAAAUCAGAAAGCGACGGCUAAAUACGUG